GGUUAAGCGACUAAGCGUACACGGUGGAUGCCCUGGCAGUCAGAGGCGAUGAAGGACGUGCUAAUCUGCGAAAAGCGCCGGCGAGGUGAUAUGAACCUUUGACCCGUCGAUGUCCGAAUGGGGAAACCCAGUGUGUUCCGACACACUAUCGUUAACUGAAUACAUAGGUUAACGAGGCGAACCGGGGGAACUGAAACAUCUAAGUACCCCGAGGAAAAGAAAUCAACCGAGAUUCCCCCAGUAGCGGCGAGCGAACGGGGAGCAGCCCGGAGUCUGAAUCAGCUUGUGUGUUAGUGGAACGGUCUGGAAAGUCCGACGGUACAGGGUGAUAGUCCCGUACACGAAAAUACACUUGCUGUGAACUCGAAGAGUAGGGCGGGACACGUGGUAUCCUGUCUGAAUAUGGGGGGACCAUCCUCCAAGGCUAAAUACUCCUGACUGACCGAUAGUGAACCAGUACCGUGAGGGAAAGGCGAAAAGAACCCCGGCGAGGGGAGUGAAAAAGAACCUGAAACCGUGUACGUACAAGCAGUGGGAGCACCUUCGGGUGUGACUGCGUACCUUUUGUAUAAUGGGUCAGCGACUUAUAUUCUGUAGCAAGGUUAACCGUAUAGGGGAGCCGAAGGGAAACCGAGUCUUAACUGGGCGUUAAGUUGCAGGGUAUAGACCCGAAACCCGGUGAUCUAGCCAUGGGCAGGUUGAAGGUUGGGUAACACUAACUGGAGGACCGAACCGACUAAUGUUGAAAAAUUAGCGGAUGACCUGUGGCUGGGGGUGAAAGGCCAAUCAAACCGGGAGAUAGCUGGUUCUCCCCGAAAGCUAUUUAGGUAGCGCCUCGUGAACUCAUCUUCGGGGGUAGAGCACUGUUUCGGCUAGGGGGCCAUCCCGGCUUACCAACCCGAUGCAAACUACGAAUACCGAAGAAUGUUAUCACGGGAGACACACGGCGGGUGCUAACGUCCGUCGUGAAGAGGGAAACAACCCAGACCGCCAGCUAAGGUCCCAAAGUCAUGGUUAAGUGGGAAACGAUGUGGGAAGGCACAGACAGCCAGGAUGUUGGCUUAGAAGCAGCCAUCAUUUAAAGAAAGCGUAAUAGCUCACUGGUCGAGUCGGCCUGCGCGGAAGAUGUAACGGGGCUAAACCAUGCACCGAAGCUGCGGCAGCGACACUAUGUGUUGUUGGGUAGGGGAGCGUUCUGUAAGCCGUUGAAGGUGUGCUGUGAGGCAUGCUGGAGGUAUCAGAAGUGCGAAUGCUGACAUAAGUAACGAUAAAGCGGGUGAAAAGCCCGCUCGCCGGAAGACCAAGGGUUCCUGUCCAACGUUAAUCGGGGCAGGGUGAGUCGACCCCUAAGGCGAGGCCGAAAGGCGUAGUCGAUGGGAAACAGGUUAAUAUUCCUGUACUUGGUGUUACUGCGAAGGGGGGACGGAGAAGGCUAUGUCAGCCGGGCGACGGUUGUCCCGGUUUAAGCAUGUAGGCGGAGGUUCCAGGUAAAUCCGGUACCUUUUAACGCUGAGGUGUGAUGACGAGGCACUACGGUGCUGAAGUGAUAAAUGCCCUGCUUCCAGGAAAAGCCUCUAAGCAUCAGGUAACACGAAAUCGUACCCCAAACCGACACAGGUGGUCAGGUAGAGAAUACCAAGGCGCUUGAGAGAACUCGGGUGAAGGAACUAGGCAAAAUGGUGCCGUAACUUCGGGAGAAGGCACGCUGAUAUGUAGGUGAAGCCCCUGCGGGCGGAGCUGAAAUCAGUCGAAGAUACCAGCUGGCUGCAACUGUUUAUUAAAAACACAGCACUGUGCAAACACGAAAGUGGACGUAUACGGUGUGACGCCUGCCCGGUGCCGGAAGGUUAAUUGAUGGGGUUAGCGGCAACGCGAAGCUCUUGAUCGAAGCCCCGGUAAACGGCGGCCGUAACUAUAACGGUCCUAAGGUAGCGAAAUUCCUUGUCGGGUAAGUUCCGACCUGCACGAAUGGCGUAAUGAUGGCCAGGCUGUCUCCACCCGAGACUCAGUGAAAUUGAACUCGCUGUGAAGAUGCAGUGUACCCGCGGCAAGACGGAAAGACCCCGUGAACCUUUACUAUAGCUUGACACUGAACACUGGUCCUUGAUGUGUAGGAUAGGUGGGAGGCUUUGAAGCGUGGACGCCAGUCUGCGUGGAGCCAUCCUUGAAAUACCACCCUUUAAUGGCUGGUGUUCUAACGUAGACCCGUGAUCCGGGUUGCGGACAGUGUCUGGUGGGUAGUUUGACUGGGGCGGUCUCCUCCCAAAGAGUAACGGAGGAGCACGAAGGUUGGCUAAUCCUGGUCGGACAUCAGGAGGUUAGUGCAAUGGCAUAAGCCAGCUUGACUGCGAGCGUGACGGCGCGAGCAGGUGCGAAAGCAGGUCAUAGUGAUCCGGUGGUUCUGAAUGGAAGGGCCAUCGCUCAACGGAUAAAAGGUACUCCGGGGAUAACAGGCUGAUACCGCCCAAGAGUUCAUAUCGACGGCGGUGUUUGGCACCUCGAUGUCGGCUCAUCACAUCCUGGGGCUGAAGUAGGUCCCAAGGGUAUGGCUGUUCGCCAUUUAAAGUGGUACGCGAGCUGGGUUUAGAACGUCGUGAGACAGUUCGGUCCCUAUCUGCCGUGGGCGCUGGAGAAUUGAGGGGGGCUGCUCCUAGUACGAGAGGACCGGAGUGGACGCAUCACUGGUGUUCGGGUUGUCAUGCCAAUGGCACUGCCCGGUAGCUAAAUGCGGAAGAGAUAAGUGCUGAAAGCAUCUAAGCACGAAACUUGCCCCGAGAUGAGUUCUCCCUGAGACUUUAAGUCUCCUGAAGGAACGUUGAAGACGACGACGUUGAUAGGUCGGGUGUGUAAGCGCAGCGAUGCGUUGAGCUAACCGAUACUAAUGAACCGUGAGGCUUAACCUU
rnacentral:rRNA from 1 species